UACGUAGGGGGCAAGCGUUGUCCGGAAUCAUUGGGCGUAAAGAGCGUGUAGGCGGCCCGAUAAGUCCGCCGUGAAAGUCCAGGGCUCAACCCUGGAAUGCCGGUGGAUACUGUCGGGCUUGAGUACGGAAGAGGCGAGUGGAAUUCCUGGUGUAGCGGUGAAAUGCGCAGAUAUCAGGAAGAACACCCGUGGCGAAGGCGGCUCUCUGGUACGUGACUGACGCUGAGACGCGAAAGCGUGGGGAGCGAACAGG
rnacentral:rRNA from 1 species